rnacentral:lncRNA from 1 species
AAAUAAACAUCGCCCUUUGGAAUAAACAAAUGUGAGAGUGACUCCUGACCUGAACAGCCCAGCCCCCUACCCCGGGCCUUUCCCAGCUGUCAUAAAUCUAAUGGCUUUUAUUGCCCUAGGAUUUUUACAGUACCCAUUACCACAGCAGUUGGGAACUUAAUUGGCAAAAUUAAGGACAUGUACUUAAGAACUUCUAGUAAAUAUUUGCUAAUGGAUUCAUAUUAGCAGGUCCUGCUGGGACAUCUGGUACAGUCAGAACUUGUCUGCCUAAAAACUUGUCCCAAAGUUGGGGGAAGCUGUUUCCUGGCCUGAACUUUCUCUGGGGCUGUGAGAGGCGAGGGCUCAGGAAAAGAUGGUCAGGUUUAGUGGAAUUUGGAUCCUUGAAAGGAAGAAAAGGGUGACGGAAAGGGCAGAGGGAACUGAAACUGGAUCCUAAGCCACCACGUCUGUGACCUAGGCCUUGUCACUCACAGGCAGCCUAGGUUCAAGAAGAAGAAAACCUGAGACCUCGGCUCACCCUGACAGGGAAGUGACGUGGGGACUGCUGAAGGACUGCGAGGUUCCACUGCCCAGGGCUGUCUAACCACUUGCUUUAGACUGUGGGUGGACGGAGUCCGUCACUCAGCCCCUAGGACCAGGGCUUCUGAUGUGUGAGCCCGUUCCAUUCCCACAAGAACCCUCGCUCCCGCUAAGGCCUCCUGAGCUUGCGCGACUCCGCUGGGCCUUGGAGAGCUCUGGGGAGGGAGGCGCCUCUCCAGCACCCCGAUCCUCAGCCUGCAGCGCCUCGGGGCCAGUGUGGCCCGGAAUGGCAGAGCUUUGUCACACACUGCCACUGGAGUGGGACUUGGCGUGGCUUUUCUGGAGGGCGACCUACAUCAAGGGGCAUGCAUGCGCCCUUUGAGCUACAGAUUUCUCAGCUGGGAAUGAAUUAUGAAUGUCCUUUAGCCUCGGCCGAGAGGGUGCACAGCUCUGCAGUGUUCCUGUCGGAAACUGGAAAUAGCCUGAUGCAAAUCCAGGAAGGCCAUUCACGACGUUGUCACAGAAGAAGUGGAGGUCAGUACCACUGCCACAUGACUGCAAGCAGCCCCCUUCUCACUGCUCCUCCACUCCCUGGUCUGCCGAGAGCUGAGACACACCCUGCAAGUGCACCCUGCUGCUCCUGCCAGGUCUAGCUCCCACCAUUGGCACCACUCUGCCCAGCCCUGGCCAGUGGUACUGUUUGCAGUUAGCUUCUCACUGCCCUCUCACUGCUCCUGGGGUGAGCCAUGGACCUGCAGCUGCCCCGUCCUGCCAAGAGGCUUUACUCCCAUGGCCGGGCUUCUGCUUGGGCUUACACUCCCAUAUCUGGAGGGAUUAGUACCUUGUGCCAGAUUCAACACCCCCAGAGGGGCCUUGCCCCUGGAACUCUGCCCAGUUGGUGCCAGCCGCCUUCUCCAGGGUCUGGACCUGGGUCCACUGUCCAUGGCCUCCAGCCACUGCAUGGAGUCCUCCAUGCUGGUUGGACCCAGCAGUUAGAACUUUCUGAGA